GACGAACGCUGGCGGCGUGCUUAACACAUGCAAGUCGAACGGAAAGGCCCUGCUUUUGUGGGGUGCUCGAGUGGCGAACGGGUGAGUAACACGUGAGUAACCUGCCCUUGACUUUGGGAUAACUUCAGGAAACUGGGGCUAAUACCGGAUAGGAGCUCCUGCUGCAUGGUGGGGGUUGGAAAGUUUCGGCGGUUGGGGAUGGACUCGCGGCUUAUCAGCUUGUUGGUGGGGUAGUGGCUUACCAAGGCUUUGACGGGUAGCCGGCCUGAGAGGGUGACCGGCCACAUUGGGACUGAGAUACGGCCCAGACUCCUACGGGAGGCAGCAGUGGGGAAUAUUGCACAAUGGGCGGAAGCCUGAUGCAGCAACGCCGCGUGCGGGAUGACGGCCUUCGGGUUGUAAACCGCUUUCGCCUGUGACAAAGCGUGAGUGACGGUAAUGGGUAAAGAAGCACCGGCUAGCUACGUG
rnacentral:rRNA from 1 species